UGGGGAAUUUUGGACAAUGGGGGAAACCCUGAUCCAGCCAUCCCGCGUGUGCGAUGAAGGCCUUCGGGUUGUAAAGCACUUUUGGCAGGAAAGAAACGUCGCGGGUUAAUACCCCGCGAAACUGACGGUACCUGCAGAAUAAGCACCGGCUAACUACGUGCCAGCAGCCGCGGUAAUACGUAGGGUGCAAGCGUUAAUCGGAAUUACUGGGCGUAAAGCGUGCGCAGGCGGUUCGGAAAGAAAGAUGUGAAAUCCCAGAGCUUAACUUUGGAACUGCAUUUUUAACUACCGGGCUAGAGUGUGUCAGAGGGAGGUGGAAUUCCAGCGUGUAGCAGUGAAAUGCGUAGAUAUGCGGAGGAACACCGAUGGCGAAGGCAGCCUCCUGGGAUAACACUGACGCUCAUGCACGAAAGCGUGGGGAGCAAACAGGAUUAGUACCCCUGGUAGUCCACGCCCUAAACGAUGUCAACUAGCUGUUGGGGGCCUUU
rnacentral:rRNA from 1 species